CAAUUCCUCGUGAGUGUGUGAAGCCUGGUGGUGUUGUGAGACAUUCCUGGCCAGCUGACUGACGACAACACGUGUAUUAUAGGCUUAAUGGCAUCAUGUUUGUGGUUUAGGAUGGUGGGUGUGUGUACGGCAGGUUAAUGAGGAUAAAGGACGUGUUUUGGUGCUGGAGACGGCAGGAAGAAUGACUGAUGACACCCUGGAGAACAAUGUCUUCUACAGGCGCAUUAAGGAGCAUUAUGGGGAGAAGAUGGCAGGAUGGUGUGAGCCUAACUGGGUGAUCUGUGUGCCUCAACAAUCUGCCGUUGAGAAUGUGCCACUUACACUUCCUCUUAUAGAGGCACAUGCUCUGAAGCAGUACAGCCCAACUGGUCAGUAUGUGAGUGCCCAUUUUGGAAAGGACUUGAUAUAUGAGAUAACUGGUGAGGAGCCUCGGGUUAUCAUCUCCAAUGAAGAAGAGGGGACGGAGGUUGUGGUUUCAAAAACAACUGUUCUUAAUGAGUACCUGGUCACUAUUAAGGACAAGGUCAUCCAUAUAUUGCUGUUAAACAAAUUGCUCAAUACUACACAGGACCAAGAUGCUGAAGUGUCAAAUCACCUCCUCACAACAACAAUCACCUCAUUUGCUCAAGCAGAAAGAUUCUUGCGCAAGUUCCACUGCCACAGGCCACUCCUUCAAGAGAUUGACACAAAGGUGAUAGAGGCAUCUGAGCACAUCCAUCCAUCAAAUGAUGUGGAUCAGAUGCAGAAUAUAUUGCAAGAUGUGCUCAUACACUGCUGGGAAACCCUCCUUAAGAAACAUUCCCCCACUCUCCAGACACAUACCACCUUCCAGGAUUUACUUUUCAGAGCAUUGGAUUACUAUGUAUUGGGUCGACUGCAUGAGAUGUUGUGGUGGCUAGUGUGUGAGCGCUGUCAAGUGGUUGAUCAAUUGGUUAAGACAAGAUUAUCUCACCUGCGCCAUGCUAACCUUUCUUCUCUCCAGCUUGGUGUUCCUGCCAACUACUACACCCCUCUUCCUGCAGCAGUGGUGGAGUUGGCAUCACUGCCCAGUGUUGAGAGUGCUGUUGGGCGUCUGCAGUGCAUCAACUCUACCAUUGACCUUAUCCAAGCUCAGGCCAAGGAAGCAAGAGUUAAUCUGCACCAGUACAAAGAUCAAGAGGGCGAACCAGAAUUACUUCUAAGUACAGAGGAGUUGGUGGCCUUGUUAACAACAGUAGUGGUACAAGCUCAGUGCUCUCACCUGGUUGCCAAUAUCUAUUACAUGACCCACUUCGUGUUCUCUGUCACUGAGGAGGAUCCACUCUGGAAAAGCCUUGGUCUCCUGCGACUCACACUGGAGAAUAUAAUGAAACUAGAUGUGGCUCGUCUUCCACCGGCCAACAAGAACAUGCGAAAGGAGCUCUCACUUCAGGACCUCAUGCAGGUUAGUGCUGAGGUGGAGUCACGAUUUGAGACAAAGGGAGCCAGUCGCAGUAUUGGUGAUAUUACUGCCUUGGAUCUGCAGCUUCACCAACUGACCCAGCAGAUCCAACUCUCUACCCAAGCACUCUCAGACACUCACUUGACUGAGAGAAAUUCAGCCAGUCAUGGGUCUGGAGCUCAGCAAUGUCACCUACACAAGAUAGUGGCAAAGUGCAGAGUUUUAGGGAGUUUCUGUCAAGCAUUCCAUCUUCCCUGCGUGAGAGCCUGACGCGAAGACAGUCUCAGCAGAGAAGUGCCAUUCAGUCACACUCAAUGGGUAGCAAAAUAUUGUCCACCAGAGAUCUAACGAAAAGUUAUUAUAUUGUUGUUGAUAUUGCUGUAAUGUCAUUCAGCUUAUCUUCUUACUGUUGAAUUUUUUUUAAAUCUUUAAGAGGGCAAAUAUACAGUACUGUAUUUGUGAAAAGGUUCUCAACUAAGAACUUAUAUUAACCUCAGAGUCAUGAUUGAAACAGUAGUUCCACACAAGUAAAGAUAAAUGAUGAUGCUAAUUUGUAUUUCAGUAGUAAACAUAGUGCCUGUGGAUGUUAGGUUGCAUUUUGUGCAUGUACCAUAUCAUCACGAUGGCUGCAGAGGCAGUGUACAAAGUACUGUUGUAACUUGUGCAGCAUGUUGUUCCUGUUCCCAUUGCCUGAAUUCACAUUCAUUGUAAGUAUGAUGUGCAAAACAUUGAAAUUAAUGAUGAGUGGAGUUUUCUUGCGUUAUUUAAAAUACUAAGGCAAGUUUAGAGCUUUAUGGUGCUUUACAUAAGGAGAGAAUUUAAGUGAAAAUAUACUGGAACUUGUUAUCUGUGAAGUAUGUGAGUAGACGUGGCACUUUACAAGUGUCUUUCUUAAUUCCAAACUUACAGGCAGGAUUUAGGCAAGCAGCUGGAUUAAUUAAGUAGUUUGUUACUAAGUAAAGACAGAUCAGGAUUGUAUAUUAAUCCUGCCAUGUUUAAACCAUAUACAGAAGUACCUAAUGCCCUACACUGAAAAAGUUGCCUCCUUAUCCUUGUUGGGCAUGUUGGAUUAUUACAUGCCUUUUGCAAAGUAGUUUAAGAUGAACUAAAGGUUUAUUGGAAGGAGAAUAUGCUAGUGGAGCAGCUUUUGCAUUUUUUACCCUAAAAAGGUGGCUAUAUUUACGUGUGCUAUUCGGCAGGGACGGAAUAUAUUUCGCUAUAUAGAAGCGAGCAAAUGCUGAAGAUAAUGUUGUUCAAAUACAUUACAUGUAGAAUGCACCUUAAAUGAGAUUUUUUUUAUUAGAAAGCUGAAUCUUUUUUUCUACAAAUUCAUAAUUAGUCAAGAAAUACAGGUACUAGAAAUAAUAAUUUCUUGGAGAAAUCUUGAGUUGAACUGGACAUACAUGUUUUCCUGGCUCUGGGGUGAGCCACCAGCAUCGUCAUAGUAACCAGACAACAACAUAGCCAGGAGUGCACCCAAACAAUGGCGCAAAAACCUAAACAUCAUAUGAUGUUCGCAGCCCUUUAACCCUUAUGCCCCGGGUGAUGUACUAAGAUGCCCGACUGGCGCGCCCCAGGUGACGUACUAAGACGCACCAUUUCCUGCCACUGUUUAAAUGCCCAGCGCUGGUUAUCGGGUUCCAGUGUGACUAUUUGCCUGUCUCGCCACAGGGAAGCUUCCUGAACAUAAUUACUUACUUUUGUUUGUUUCAUUUCCAUUGUUUGUCAAUUUUAUCGUUGUAUCAAAAUAAUAUUGCUGAAAGUAGUGUAGUUGUAUUGUAGUGUAGUAUUACUGAAAAUAAUGCUAUGAUUAUGUUAUAAAUGAAUUUAUUUGUGGAAUUAUUAUUUUAUUCAUUACUUGCUCUUCCAAACACAAAGGCAGCCUGGAGACCGACUGUGUGUGUUGCCAAGUUUUUUUUAUGAAAAAUAAUGCAAAUAAAAUAUUCUAUAUGAAUUAUUUAUAGAAAAUAAGUUAUAUGAUCAGUAAAUAUAUGCAUUAUUGGCCAUCUCAGACACAAAAGCAAGCUAAAAAUAGCUGGUAAGUGACCACGAGCUCAGCUGUCAAAACACUGUCUCCUUAUAUCCCUCCCUACACCCUCCCUCAGUGCUGCCAGGGAAGUUUCUAGAGGGCCAAUAUAUAGUUUUUCUUACUUAUUUGUUAUUGUUUUAUCAUUUAAAAAGGUUAAAAUUAUUUUUGGAAAAGUUUUGAUUUUCUCGAUUUACUCACGCUUGGGGGGUACUACCAGCAGCACCCUACCCCGGGCUUAAGGGUUAAGCAGUUGGCAGCGAAACUGCCACACACUUUUCAACUUGAUCUAUGUAUUUUUCUAGUUAUUUGAAAAUAAUAAUAAUAAUAAUAAUAAUAAUGUUUUCAAUGUUAUAUCAUUGGAAAUUUUGCACAAUUUCUGUUAAGUAAAACAAAUUGGCAGUUUUCUGGUUUCAUAAAACUUAAGUCAUCCUGUGUGGUCAUCCUGCCCCAGGAGAUCCUCCUCUCCACCCGUAUCUUCUAGCAUUUGUUUCUAGACUUCUACUAUAAUAUUAAAUAAGAAGGUUAGUGGAGAGCAAUUUUAUAUGACCAUGAUAUUGGUAGUGGGUCUCCUUGGCAGUUAAUGUCUGUCAUGAAUGACUUUCAGAAGAUUAUCCCAAACAAAGCAUUGUUCCAAGUAAGAUUUGUUCAAGUUUAUGAAAAAUUUAUUGGUUUAGUAAAAAUAAGCAAAAUGAAGUUAUAGGUUAGUUAUUGGUUGAAAUUAUAUAUUGCUCUAAAAGUCAUACACAGUAAAUAUAAUUUUUGAGAUUAGUUAGUAAGAUUUUGUACAGCAAGGAUAGUGUUGUGUUGUAUGUACUGUACACAAGUUUGGCACAUACUGUAGGGUAAGUAGUGGCACCUUGUGACUUUCUGGUGCUGGGAUAUACAUACAAUUUGCCUUUCCAAUGUGAACAUGUAUGCGAGUGUAAAUAUUUAACAUAAUAAAUUAUAUUUAAUAUUUGCAUAAUAAAUGUUUAUAUACUUAACAUUUCUUAGCAUUGUUGUACAUUUAGGAAUACAGUAAACCCUUGAUUUCUAUGGCAAUUAUAUUCCUGAAGAACACUGUGAAUGUCAUAUCGGCAGAAUUUGGGGAAACUUGGAUGCAUUCCAGGACCUAGAUUUCUACCACCCAGUAUAUUAAAUCUAACAAAAUAAACUGGAACUAUCCAAUUCUAGUGAGGAUUUUGAGAGUGAUGAACUGCCUGAAAACUCUGGCAUACCCGGUAUUGGUCAGAGGAAGGUUACUGCUGUGCUAUGGUGGGUAGACUUUUUUUUUGGGGGGGGAGGGGGUUUGCUUGUUGCGUUGACUUGACUCUCAUUUGUUCUCAUUGCAUUUACACCUACAUUUGCUAGUAAUUGUGCUGCAAUAUUAUAAUAAUUGUCUCUUGUUUGUACACAUUCAGUAUAAACGGAAGAGAAAAAAAAAUGUGUAAGUAAUCCUGUACUGUAACUAAGAUUCCUAGCAACUUGGUAAGUGGAGGAGGGAACCCUCCUCUUCAGACACACCACAUUGAUAUAUGAUCUAGUCAUUGGGCUGGGUUAAGUCACAUCACUCCGUUUGGUCAUUUACUGGUAUGGCACGUCCUCCUACUGCCCAAUAGCUAGGACAAUCACAGCAUGGGACGAAUACAAAAUUAAAAAUUA
rnacentral:misc_RNA from 1 species